rnacentral:rRNA from 1 species
CUACGGGGGGCACCAGUGAGGAAUAUUGCACAAUGGGGGAAACCCUGAUGCAGCAACGCCGCGUGGAGGAUGACGCAUUUCGGUGUGUAAACUCCUUUUAUAUGUCAAGAAAAUGACGGUAGCAUAUGAAUAAGCACCGGCUAACUCCGUGCCAGCAGCCGCGGUAAUACGGAGGGUGCAAGCGUUACUCGGAAUCACUGGGCGUAAAGGACGCGUAGGCUGGUUGGUAAGUCAGGUGUGAAAUCCUACAGCUUAACUGUAGAACUGCACUUGAAACUACCAACCUAGAGUAUGGGAGGGGGAGAUGGAAUUAGUGGUGUAGGGGUAAAAUCCGUAGAUAUCACUAGGAAUACCGAAAGCGAAGGCGAUCUCCUGGAACAUAACUGACGCUAAGGCGUGAAAGCGUGGGGAGCAAACAGGAUUAGAUACCCGGGUAGUC